rnacentral:rRNA from 1 species
ACUCCUGCGGGAGGCAGCAGUGGGGAAUAUUGCACAAUGGGCGCAAGCCUGAUGCAGCGACGCCGCGUGGGGGAUGAAGGCCUUCGGGUUGUAAACUCCUUUCGCUAGGGACGAAGCUUUUUUGUGACGGUACCUAGAUAAGAAGCACCGGCUAACUACGUGCCAGCAGCCGCGGUAAUACGUAGGGUGCGAGCGUUGUCCGGAAUUACUGGGCGUAAAGGGCUCGUAGGUGGUUUGUCGCGUCGUCUGUGAAAUUCUGGGGCUUAACUCCGGGCGUGCAGGCGAUACGGGCAUAACUUGAGUGCUGUAGGGGUAACUGGAAUUCCUGGUGUAGCGGUGAAAUGCGCAGAUAUCAGGAGGAACACCGAUGGCGAAGGCAGGUUACUGGGCAGUUACUGACGCUGAGGAGCGAAAGCAUGGGUAGCGAACAGGAUUAGAUACCCCUGUAGUCCCAUG